GACGAACGCUGGCGGCGUGCUUAACACAUGCAAGUCGAACGAAGAGCGAUGGAAGCUUGCUUCUAUCAAUCUUAGUGGCGACCGGGUGAGUAACGCGUAAUCAACCUGCCCUUCAGAGGGGGACAACAGUUGGAAACGACUGCUAAUACCGCAUACGAUCUAACCUCGGCAUCGAGGAUAGAUGAAAGGUGGCCUCUACAUGUAAGCUAUCACUGAAGGAGGGGAUUGCGUCUGAUUAGCUAGUUGGAGGGGUAACGGCCCACCAAGGCGAUGAUCAGUAGCCGGUCUGAGAGGAUGAACGGCCACAUUGGGACUGAGACACGGCCCAGACUCCUACGGGAGGCAGCAGUGGGGAAUCUUCCGCAAUGGACGAAAGGCUGACGGAGCAACGCCGCGUGAGUGAUGACGGCCUUCGGGUUGUAAAGCUCUGUUAAUCGGGACGAAAGGCCUUCUUGCGAAUAGUUAGAAGGAUUGACGGUACCGGAAUAGAAAGCCACGGCUAACUACGUG
rnacentral:rRNA from 1 species